GUGGAAGCAGGAACAGAAAAAGGGGGGAAGGAGGGGGGGAAGUUGAUAUAACUUCCUCUCACAAUCAAAUGAGGAAACAAAUUGCAAAAUAUCAGUGAAGGCUAUAUAUGUUACUUUGGAUUAUGCAAGAAUUCAAUGUCUGUCACAAUUAGGGAAGUUAUGUGGGAGGAAGCACAGCCUACAGGCCCGAAUAUGUGGUCGCAGUGCGGGAUGAGCUUCCUCCUGGCCGUGGUGGCCGACUGGUGGUCGGCGUAGUUCACCAGGCAGCACUUCUUGGCCGGCGGCCCCGCGGGUCCGAAGAACACGACGCUGCUGACGCCCGGGGUGACCUCCCUCAGCACCUGCGUCGCACCACGGAUUACCACGGCAGUUGCAGUCAUUUCCUCUACCUUGUACUACCGUAGUUAAAAGUGAUAGUGUCAAAAAUUGUUUUAAAACAUAAAACAAACUUUAUAUAAAAAAAUUAUAAUAUUUUAAAACUAACUUAAAAUUAUGCCUUUUAAAGGAAUAAUUAAUUUUGUUUUCUUCCACCGUUUUAUUUCACCCCUUAAAUAAAUAAAUGGUUGCAUAAAAAAUUGUU